rnacentral:misc_RNA from 1 species
AGCAGCCGCGGUAAUUCCAGCUCCAAUAGCGUAUAUUAAAGUUGUUGCAGUUAAAAGCUCGUAGUUGAACUUCGGGGUUUACCCAUUGGUCAGGCUUAAUUGUCUGUACUGGUGAGAUAAAUCUCUACCUUCUGAGGAACUUUCAUGCCAUUUAUUUGGUGUGAUUGGAAAUCGGGACUAUUACUUUGAAAAAUUGAGUGUUUAAAGCAGGCUAACGUCUGAAUAUAUUAGCAUGGAAUAAUGAAAUAGGACGGCUUGGUUCUAUUUCGUUGGUUUCUAGGAUCACCGUAAUGAUUAAUAGGGAUAGUUGGGGGCAUUAGUAUUCAAUUGUCAGAGGUGAAAUUCUUGGAUUUAUUGAAGACUAACUACUGCGAAAGCAUUUGCCAAGGAUGUUUUCAUUAAUCAAGAACGAAAGUUAGGGAUCGAAGACGAUCAGAUACCGUCGUAGUCUUAACCAUAAACUAUGCCGACUAGGGAUCGGACGAAGUUAAUUUUAUAAUGACGCGUUCGGCACCUUACG